rnacentral:snRNA from 1 species
GUGCUCGCUUCGGCAGCACAUAUACUAAAAUUGGAAAUAAUACAGAGAAGAUUAUCAUGGCCCCUGCACAAGGAUGACAAGCAAAUUCGUGAAGUGUUCCACAUUUUU